rnacentral:lncRNA from 1 species
UUAUGCCCGUUUUCACCAACAACCUCUUACCGUUUCCCUAUCUAAAUGCUACUUUUAGUAAGGAUCCCUCCCAAUUUGACACCUACCUAAAUUCAUUUUCACCACACUUGUACAUGGAUCCCUUAAGUAAGUGACAGAUUACUAGUUCUACAAACGAUAAUGCAAAGUCGAUAUUUUAUCGAUAAAAUGAUUUUUCUGUACUUCUUAAGAAAUAAACGUCUAUCGAGUAUAUAUUACUAAAGCCUAUAAGUUUAUUUUGGCAGAGAAGAGAAAACGAGGAUAAACCUUUCUUGCAGAAGAAAAAGACAAGCUAGUGAAAUUGCUGACGUCUCAUAGAGACACAAUAUUAAACAAAAAACGGAUGGGACCACGAACGAAGCCAAAAACAAAGCUUGGAUCCAGUCACAAAUAGUUUUAAUGCGACAGGAACCCUUUACAGUUUCAGGUGGUGCGAGAAAUUGGAAAGACGUGUAAAAACAUGCUGCGCCCAGCCCACCUCAAAUUGAAUUGGUGCAGGAGGAUGAUGAUAAUGUUUGGUACAUCAUAUGAGGACUAAUAUUAAAAUAUUUGUUUAC